rnacentral:tRNA from 1 species
UCCUUCAUAGUGUAGUGGUCAGCACGCUUGACGCUUAUUCGAGAGGUCCGUGGUUCAAGUCCCGGUGAUGGCA